AUGGCCAGUCUUGUCCUGCCUGAAUCUUCCAGUGGCCCUUGGCUCCUCUGCUGCUUGGCUCUCUGUCUCCUGGGGGCGGGUUCCGUGGCUGCUGGAGUCACCCAGUCCCCAAGACAUGUAAUCAAAGGCCAUGGGGGGAAGGCCGUUCUGAAGUGCCACCCCAUCUCCGGACACAGAAGUGUGUACUGGUACCAGCAGGCUCUGGGACAGGGCCCCAAGUUCCUCAUUGAAUAUUUUGAAAAAGAGGAGAGAGAAAAGGGGAGCAUCCCUGAUCGGUUCUUAGGAAAACAGUUCAGUGACUACAGCUCUGAGCUGUCCAUGAGCGCCUUGCAGCUGGGAGACUCGGCCGUGUAUCUCUGUGCCAGCAGCUUAGACACAGCCCUGCAGGGUCCAUGGCUUUCUGCACGCAAACCUCCCUGCCCCAGAUGA